CUUUGCCCCUUUGUUGCCCUCAGUUUCCACAUGGAGUUAAUUUAAGUCAGACGGGUUUGGUGGAAUGGUCUUUUUAGUUGGAGACCAUGGGCACAACGGGGUUUUGUUUGAACAAGUGAUUUUAACAGUUUCCCCAGCAAAUACUGCCCAUUCGAUUACAGCAUUAAAUGCUUUUGAAAAUCCAGUGCCAAGUUAUGUUUGGGUUUGAUGUUCAAUCUAAUGCAUUUCCCCAAAAAAUCAACUAUGUUGGCAGCCUUGAAUGCUUCAAGAUAUUAAGCUACCUGAAGGAUGCAUAUCAGGAAGAUAUUGUUUUACCGAUUCCCCUUCAGUAGUUACACGAAACCGUUUCACAUGCUGGCAAAUUAAUAAUGAUGUCCUGGAAUUAGUUGAGCAUAGCUUAGGUUUAAACCUUCAUGGAAACUGUCUACUCAUUAGAUUUCAAGGAUUAGCGAUCCUGGAGGAAACAUCCAUACAUGAAACUAGAAACAGUGUUGUCAUCUUGGUCUCUACUAUAUCUUCAGUUCAUCUUCUCGUUCUACCACAUCCAUCAAAACAUAAUGAUCCAUCAGCAUUCAGUUCAAUGGGAACCAAUAUAUCUGUCCCCUCUAUUUUCACUGAAGCCUCGCUCCCAUGGUUGAGUGAAUCCUUCAGCCACCAGGUCAUCAAUAGCACCACUGCAAAUGUUUCCCUUCCCAGCACAGCAGCAUCCUGUUUAUCUGCCAAUGGAAAAGAAGCUCUGUUUGCUUUGGCAAACACUACGUCAAUAUCUCUUAUUCGCAUGGGUCAGACACCCUCUGCUGUGAGUACGUUUAAUUUGCAGCCAUCUUCGAAUUUUCCUCGUUUGCUCUCCAGUUAUCUACCAACUGUAUUACGACGCACGUCAAAGCAAGAAAACGAAGAAACCACGACUACUAUUUGCUUGCUGCCAACAAACGAUGACAUUCUCGUAUUGGCCGUAAGCAAAGGCUUGAAGUUGCGUAUUUGAUCAGCGACAACACAAGAUUGCCGAUUGGAAUUUGACCUGAUUGAGUUUCUUGGUGAGAAAUCAGUUAAACAACUUGGCUCUCUUCACUGCAUUCGGUGGUGCACGGAAGGUGAAAAUUUCACACUGGGAGUCUUCUCUUCCUUUGGCAAAAAGAGGUCUUUCUACUUAUCAAUCUGCAAACGGGCCCUACACUCAAAUUAAAUUUCCAGUCCUCCAUCGCGGCACAGCACAGUCGUUUGAUUGAUUUUAGCCAAGGAGCCAAGGAGUCAAGGAGAACAUCUAUGGGAAUUUGCUGAAACGACUCGGUUACAGUGGCAACAAAUCGCCUUGGAGCCGGGGUUUGAAUCAGACAUUGAGCACGAUGAUACCGUUGUUGAUCCGAAACAA